rnacentral:rRNA from 1 species
UACGAAGGGGGCUAGCGUUGCUCGGAAUUACUGGGCGUAAAGGGCGCGUAGGCGGAUGUUUAAGUCGGGGGGUGAAAGCCCGGGGCUCAACCUCGGAAUUGCCUUCGAUACUGGACAUCUUGAGUACGGGAGAGGUGAGUGGAACUCCGAGUGUAGAGGUGAAAUUCGUAGAUAUUCGGAAGAACACCAGUGGCGAAGGCGACUCACUGGCCCGUUACUGACGCUGAGGCGCGAAAGCGUGGGGGAGCAAACAGG